UACGUAGGGGGCAAGCGUUGUCCGGAAUCAUUGGGCGUAAAGAGCGUGUAGGCGGCCCGAUAAGUCCGCCGUGAAAGUCCAGGGCUCAACCCUGGAAUGCCGGUGGAAACUGUCGGGCUGGAGUCCGGAAGAGGCGAGUGGAAUUCCUGGUGUAGCGGUGAAAUGCGCAGAUAUCAGGAGGAACACCAAUGGCAAAGGCAGCUCGCUGGGACGGUACUGACGCUGAGACGCGAAAGCGUGGGGAGCAAACAGG
rnacentral:rRNA from 1 species